rnacentral:lncRNA from 1 species
GGCGUACUAAAAUAAUGUGAAUACAAUGUGGGCUCCGAAGCGCUGAAGGGGAGGGUUAAUGAAACUGCUAAUAUAGAAAGCAAACGUGGGACCAGCUGCUCCAGAGUGCACGUGAAACCAUUUUCCCUCACAAGGAGCAGAAGCUUUGGGACAUAAGCAAACAGCGAUGUGGGUCCUUAGACCUCAAGAGGUUAAGUGGAGAGCUGGAGAAGGCUGGAAAAAAGAUACCAAAGCACCUGCUACUGGUGCCAUUAUUAUGGACGAAUAUGAGAUAAAGAGAUGGAAACAACGGGGUAUGCAGUAGAAAGAUGGACCAGAAAGCAGAGCCAAGAGGUUCGUACACUGUGGAGAAUGGAGAGACUGGGGACUCGAAGGCAGUGAGGAAAA